GACGAACGCUGGCGGCGUGCCUAAUACAUGCCAGUAGAACGCUGAAGGAGGAGCUUGCUUCUCUGGAUGAGUUGCGAACGGGUGAGUAACGCGUAGGUAACCUGCCUGGUAGCGGGGGAUAACUAUUGGAAACGAUAGCUAAUACCGCAUAAUAGCAGUUGUUGCAUGACAACUGUUUGAAAGGUGCAAUUGCACCACUACCAGAUGGACCUGCGUUGUAUUAGCUAGUUGGUGGGGUAACGGCUCACCAAGGCGACGAUACAUAGCCGACCUGAGAGGGUGAUCGGCCACACUGGGACUGAGACACGGCCCAGACUCCUACGGGAGGCAGCAGUAGGGAAUCUUCGGCAAUGGACGGAAGUCUGACCGAGCAACGCCGCGUGAGUGAAGAAGGUUUUCGGAUCGUAAAGCUCUGUUGUAAGAGAAGAACGAGUGUGAGAGUGGAAAGUUCACACUGUGACGGUAGCUUACCAGAAAGGGACGGCUAACUACGUG
rnacentral:rRNA from 1 species